rnacentral:rRNA from 1 species
AAACAUCGAACGAAGAGUUUGAUCCUGGCUCAGGAUGAACGCUGACAGAAUGCUUAACACAUGCAAGUC